rnacentral:rRNA from 1 species
AUACGGAGGAUCCGAGCGUUAUCCGGAUUUAUUGGGUUUAAAGGGUGCGCAGGCGGCCAUUUAAGUCGGCGGUUAAAUCGUGGGGCUCAACCCCAUUCUGCCGUUGAUACUGGGUGGCUUGAUUGCGGUCGAGGUUGGCGGAAUUCGUUGUGUAGCGGGGAAAUGCAUAGAUAUGACGAAGAACACCGAUUGCGUAGGCAGCUGACCAGACCGCAAAUGACGCUCAUGCACGAAAGUGCGGGGAUCGAACAGGAUUAGAUACCCUGGUAGUCCGCACAGUAAACGAUGAAUACUUGUUUUCGGCGAUAUAAUGUCGGAGGCAAAGCGAAAGCGAUAAGUAUUCCACCUGGGGAGUACGCCGGCAACGGUGAAACUCAAAUGAAUUGACGGGG